AGACUUUAAAAAGCGCCUGAGCUCUCGGAGGAAUUUUCUUCGGGAGCUGACGAGGAUGGGGUUUAUCGAACUUUCGGCGGAUGCCCCACGGUGACCUGCCACCGUAAGAGGCCUACAAAACCGGCGAGCGAUCGCCGGGACAAAGGGGUCUUCAGCAGGAU
rnacentral:ncRNA from 1 species